rnacentral:lncRNA from 1 species
GAGGGCCAUUCAUAUCCAUUAAUUGUUACAAUCCAAGAUACACUAGGUCUCAGCUGGUUGCCGUUUCUUCUGUAUUUGAAAUGUGCUUCUCAGCAGAGAUCGGAGGACACCAUUGGGACUCAUUUGAGUCUGACUUUCACAUUAAUUUUGCUGUGCUGUGAAGAGUGAAGACAAAAUCAAUGUCCAUCAGUAAUUAUUCAAGGUAAUAUCGCACACAUUUCCUGAUGGAUUGGAUGUGGGAAGUGAAGAAAAGGAGGAAAAGGUUCUGAAGAAAAGAAGUAAUUGCUGCAGCCACAAGUCUACAGUUACAAGUGAUUGAAGAUGGUGGCUGGGUCAGAGAAUGCUAAUCAUCCGUGAAGUGGGCUCGCCAUGACUCUGACACCGUGUCUCCUGGUGCACCCUGUGGUAGGUGCAUCUUUGCUGAAUAAAUACAAAGUGAACUUGACGGGAAAGGAGACCUCAGCAGUCCUACAAAGGCAAUUUUGCAAGCUGUCUGGCUGUGGAAUUAGUGGGAUGUUUGCUCAGGAAGAAACAGCUGACGUCAACUUUGCUCUCUUUGUAUCUCAAGGGCAGAGUUAGCCAUGCCUCUGGCCUGCGCCGACACCCGCAGAGGGAAGAAUGGCUUCCAGAGGGAAAGGUUAAAGAACAGGUCGGCUGGGCAUCCACACUCCCCGUCCCUCCCGCCCGCUGUGUGUCAUCUUUCUGGCAAGGUGAAUUCAAUGCCCA